AACGAACGCUGGCGGCAGGCCUAACACAUGCAAGUCGAGCGAGGACUUCGGUCAUAGCGGCGGACGGGUGAGUAACGCGUGGGAACGUGCCCUUUGCUUCGGAAUAGCCCUGGGAAACUGGGAGUAAUACCGGAUGAGCCCUUUGGGGGAAAGAUUUAUCGGCGAAGGAUCGGCCCGCGUUGGAUUAGGUAGUUGGUUGGGUAAUGGCCUACCAAGCCGACGAUCCAUAGCUGGUUUGAGAGGAUGAUCAGCCACACUGGGACUGAGACACGGCCCAGACUCCUACGGGAGGCAGCAGUGGGGAAUCUUAGACAAUGGGGGAAACCCUGAUCUAGCCAUGCCGCGUGAGCGAUGAAGGCCUUAGGGUUGUAAAGCUCUUUCAGCUGGGAAGAUAAUGACGGUACCAGCAGAAGAAGCCCCGGCUAACUCCGUG
rnacentral:rRNA from 1 species